rnacentral:lncRNA from 1 species
UUCCACUCUCACAAUUCUAGGUCUACCUCAUUUCAAAACUCUCAGCCUUUAAUAAACCUCUUCAUUACUCUCAACAGCAAAACUGAUGAGAAGUCUAACAAAUACUCAAAGAAAAUAUAAUAGUAUCCUCCUCUCUUAACUGACACAUCUUGAAGACUCUUAAAAGUUCAUUUCUUUUGUUGGUAACAGACACAUUGUUGAACUCAAUCUCACGAUUCUGCCACUACCACAUUUCAAAACUCUGAAAGCCUUAAUUAACGCUCUUCCUCAGACUCAACUGAAUCAGCCUGCUCACGCUCUACCCCCAUCUUCUUCGCUGCCCCUGUUCCUCCGCCUUCCACAGCCUUUUAAAUUCCAAGGUACAUCAUCCACACCAUGCAAACUCGACCAAAUAUUACAGUUACAGACACUAUAAUCAAAUCUAGUGAUUGAUACAAACCAAAUAUACAACACAAAAAAGGUAAAGGAAGAUAAUUUAACUUACUUUAGAAAUAAGGAGUCCAUGCAGUAACUAAUCAAGCCAACAGCAAGACU